GUCUUUGGUGACUGAAAAAAAACCAGAAGCACAUUUUCCUCCAGCUUCUUUGCUUUAGCGGCUCUUGUGCUCUUUGUGAACCCAGACCAUAGGGAGAAAGAAGCUCCUGAGCUACGUUUUGUAUUUUAUGGAUUUUAAAGUUUUACUUUCUAUAGAUGGAUACUUGAAUGUUACUCUAAACAGUCAGGAAGACUUAUUUUGAAACAGCUUGCUUUUUAGACCUGGGAUUGAGAGACAAAGAGGUAUCCCAAGUUGAAUAAACUCCUUGGUUAUCUAAGCUGGGAGGAGGCAGCGCCAGGGCUAUGUGGACCUUACGGCUUCCAAGGCAUUUUUCUAACUUGAGACUCACAGAUGUUAACACGAACUGCAACAAGGCUUGUGCCUUUGGAUCGCAAUCCUGUGAGACAGCAAACUCCUCUGUCUGUUUAGCUGUGCUGGGGCAGAGGCCAGCAUCACCGCGGGUGGCCUCUGCUAGAUCUCCUCCAGCGAGUCAUCCUUCCCACUGCAUCUGGGGGGCACCUUCUGUACCACCAACUUGACCAUGGCACCCAGGCUCCAAACCUUUCAAAUGCUUCCUCACGGUGCUCUGCGAAAUUCACAUUUCUAAUGAUGGCAUCUAAAACUGCUCAUGAUCUGGCCUCUUCAGAUUCACACUCCACAUCCCAGGCUAGGGGUCAAAUUAGAGCUGCAGCUGCCGGCAUACACCACAGCCACAGCAAUGUGGGAUCUGAGCUGUGUCUGCAACCUACACCACAGCUCACGGUAAGGCUGUAUCCUUAACCCACUGAGCGAGGACAGGGAUUGAACCCAUGUCCUCAUGGAUACUAGUCGGAUUCAUUACUGCUGAGCCAUGAUGGGAACUCCAGGACCAUGUCUUAAUCUCAGUGAUCCUCCAGUUCCUACGUUUAAAUCAGGGUAAUAGCACCUGCCCAAGAUUAUUAGAGGCAUUAAAUGAGACAAUGUUUGGGAAAUUCAUGAAAAUUUCAAUAAAUAUAAAUGAUGGCAUUUCUAGGAGGUGGCUUAAAAAAAAAAAGAGCAGAAAGGAGGGGCAGCAGCAGGGAGGAAUCUAAAGAAAAAAACGUGUAACAGGUCUAGCGAGAUCAUCUAGGUAUUCAUGGUAGGCUUCCACACCUGAGCACGGAAUGAUUUCUUUCUAUGUCCCCCUCUUGUCGAUUUUGAGCCUAAGUGUCCUUAUUACCCCCUUUUCCCACUAACAUACCAUGUUCCUUCCUACCAAAUACCACCACCAAUACUACCACCAGCAGUUCCUGGGACUCCGUUUAUUCUUGUUUCAAUUGUUAAAUACCCUCUCUUUCCCUGUGUCCCAUGUAAAUCUCACCCAUUCUUCAACCUUCAUAAUAAGUCCCACCUGUAUCUAUAAUGCCUUUGAGUAAACCAGCUCACAUCCAUCCUUCUCCAGGUCUCUCCCUAGUGCAUUAAGAGUGCCUAUGUCAUUCCUCAGUGCUUUAUCUCCAAAUUCUUCACACAUGUACACCUGGUCCCCUAUCUAGAAUGUGGGGAGAACCCCAUACCUUAGAGGAGCCAAGUCUGGGUUAUAAUAAAACAUGAGGGGUUGGCAGAGAAGAGGAGUGGUAGCAAGUGUAUGAAAGGAAAGUAAGAUUGACUAGUCUGCCAAGAAAACAAAACCAUACAAUGAGAAAUGAUAUGAGAAAAUGAGAUAAUCAAUUUCCGAAGGCUCAAAGAUUCUGUGGUGGUUGAACAUGACAUAUUAUGAAGAGGGCACAGGGUAAUGUUUCAAAGAUGGGUGGCAAGUAAGGAACCCGGCUUCCAAAAUGAAUAUACCAAGUGACUAUCACUGAAUGAGAAAGUCAAGAAGAAAGGAAAUGGAGACCAGAUGGAAAAAGAACCACCAGGGUGAUCAAACAACAUUUUGCUGAGCACUCAGUUCUUCCAGGAUUUGGGAACUGUUCUAGGUACAUGUUUGGGGCACACAAGGUGGGGAGGGAGUUCAGAGAGUACUAACCAGCAUCAGUGCUUGCAAGGCUUGGCAGUCCACACAGGGCGAUGAAACACAUAUGACGAUUUAACCACAGAUAUAAAUUAGCAUGUGACAAGCGCCAAAUGAGCACCGCAAGACAGAUGGAGGGGAGAUUGCUACAUGCUAAUGUAGUCAGGGGCAGGGGCACUUUCUCAGACAGAACCUGCUGUCUUAAAGGAUAGGAGAAAGGCCUGGGAUACCAGGUCCAGGGGUGGAAACCUGUACAGAGAUGGAAGUGAAAUUUGCCAGAUAUGUGGGUGGGAUUAGCAGAGAAAUCUUGCUAAAGCGAGACUGGUUGGGAUGGUGGAAGGGGAUGGAUUUGCAAAAGUAGACUGAAAAAUAGAAAGAUUCCAUAGAAAAGGAGAGAUAAGUUUGAAAGGAAUUUAGGUAGAGUGAGAGAAGAGGAGAAGCAAAAUGAAAGGAAAAGAAACUAAAGGGAAGAAAAAUGAUGUUACCAAGCAUUUAUCACCAUAAAAAAGUUAAAUUUUAAAUGUGUGGAUGGGAAUUAAAUGUAACAGAUAAUACAUUAUUUUUUCCUGAUUAGGGAAGUCUUUAAAAAAAAAAGAGGUCAGUAUUGACUCAACUGCAGCAAGAAGCAUAAUCUGAAAUAUUAGAGCUGGAAAGAUACAUCUUUCUUGGGAAGCAAUCUAGCAAUAUGUACAGUGGUCCUUUAAAAGGCACAGUAGUUCCCAUAAAGGAUGCUAACUUGAUAAAACCAUCAGGAAGAUGGAAAAAACAUUCAUGCUCAAAGAUGCUCUUUAACGCACACUGCUUACCUAACACAAUAAACCACCACCAACACAAUCAGCACAGCAGAAAAACCUACAGGGAGAUUGUGAAAUUAAGUUGAGAUAGAGCCACAUCAAGAAUUACAACUUGACCAUUAAAUAUCAUGUUUAUGUUACUGUUACAGAAAAAAGUCAGGAUUCAAAAUGUUCCACAAAGUUGAGCCCACUUACAUAAAAAUGCACAUACACAUAAGCACACAGAAAUACUGAAAGGCAAUAAAUCCAAAUUCUUUCUAUGUUAUACAACUAUCAAGUGUUUUUAUUUUCAUUUGGAGGCGUUUCCUCUAUUUUCCAAGUUUUCUACAAUGAGUGUGAAUUACAAAAUAAUUCAAAAGUAUAUUUAGGUAUUGAAAAACCGAAUAAACAUUUUAUGCACAAACGACACUUGGAGAGAGCUGUGCAUAGGAAGUGAAAAAUAGUUCCCCCUCCAAGCUGCCUUAAUCCCCAGCUGUGAGGACAUUUCCCUUCUAAACCUGAGACUAUGCACGACCCUAAAGAUGAUGCAUAGGAUUGUCCCCCUCACAUGUCAUUAUCUACGAGAAGGGAAUUUUAGAAGUCCUUUCCACAUUGUUUUUUCCGGAGAAGGCAGAAGAAUAAAUGUUUCCUUUACUCUGGAUCUUGAUGUCCCUAGAAAGCCUAAAUUCCAGGGAAUACCUUAACUCGUCUCUUUCCUCCCUUCUUACUCUCCUCCCACCAACACCCCCUUCACCACCAGCACCAUCUCUCUCUCUUUAGUACACGGCUGCCUCUUCAAUGCUGCCCUCAGAUCAAGAUGGUAACAUGGUCUUGGAUUUCUGUACUUUAUGGAAGAGUGGUACCCUCCAUUCACGAAGGAACUCAAACAUUUUAAAAGUGCAACCCAAUUUCAAGUGCACGUUUAGGGUAGUUACAAACACAGGCAAACAACUGCAUGUGUGGUAUCACAGAGAAGAGAAAGCCCACUAUAUCCGAAGUCAACAUGAUGCUCCUUUAAAAUGACAUGCGAUGAACUGCUUUCUCAGAGCAAACACUCAGUCCAUGCCAGGGCUGGGGCAGGAAGCAGAAGCCAGCAACAGCCCACCACUGGAGAGGGGGAAACGGUGGUGAUAACUCUAAAUGUGAAAGAGAGAGGCUUGACAUUUUUCAAUGACCAAACCAGGCAAUUAAAACAUUAAAUGUGAAAUCUGAGGCACUGGAAAUUUCCUAAUAUGGUAAAAGGGCUGAGUUUCCCAAAUGGUGUUUUCUCAUCUUUCAGCAUAUCAAAGAGCAUGCCAAAACCCCAAAGAAACAUUUCCAUUUUGAAAACAAAAAUAAACCACACACAUCCACAUUCUAUUAAUAGUGUUGUGUUGCCUUAACGACCUUGCAUCCUUAGGGGGAGAGAAAAAGUCACCGUUUAUGCAAAUUUUAACGUAAGUGAAAACUUCCAUACAAAAGCAACUGGACCAGUGGGGGUGAGUUAGGAGGGACUGGGGCAAAAGCAAUCAAAUCCCUUCUAUGUUUUCCUUACUGGAGACCAAAUGUUAUGCUCCUCGUGGUCAGACUUCAAGACUUUGUAAACACAUUCUACAUCUUUAGCAGCAUUUCUUAAGAGUGUAAACAAGGAAAGCUGGCAUUAAGACACACAGGUUCAAGCCCACUCCACCAUGUUUGGAGAUCCAAGACAGAGGGACCCAGCUUAGAACUGAAAACCCAAGCAGACUGUCCAGAAGUCAAAGACCUGUCAAAGUUCUCAAAAUCCAGACUAUCAAUUCCUGCUCCUGCCACCGGGAAGAGGAAAAACGCUCUCCGGUGGCAUCUUAUGUGUAGAGACAGAAAAAUGCCCCUGAAUGUGGUUCUUUGCUUCCUCAACUUAAAUACCAAGAGCUGCUGCCUAGGUGCUCAGCCGAGUCCAUCACUCGGGGUGAGAGCCAUGCAAAGUACAGGACAUAGAAGCUGCCCACAAGACGCCUCCAUUUCUGAGGGAAGAAAAGAACACAAAACAGCGAGAGGGAACAACAAAGGAUCGCUUAUUCUAUCCUGAAAGUGUGACCACGCAAGUAAAAUGUCAGUUCAACCCCAAGUCUUUGGGAGAAAGGAGUCCUUAUCGCCUGCCUGCAUGGACCAGCUUAAACCUCUGUUUAAGAGAAAAGGGGUAGGAUGUCUCCACCAGGGAGAAUAGGAAAACCAGAGCCAGACCCACAAGCCCACCCCGAUCAGGUGAGGUGAGGAGGAACGAAGAGCAUGGACUCGGAACACCAACUCCGAUGAAACUGGGAAGAAACGAAAGCAAAGAUCACCUCUCUUACACCAGCAGAUCCGAGUUGAAAGCCUAACCCCGCUAAGUCUGUGCACUGGGCAUGCUCAUUGUUGACCUGCUUUUCUAUUCCCCUGCACAAGCAUUUAUCCCAUACUGUCUGGCAGAAGCUCUUCCUUACAGUUCUAUAAGCAUUUAUCACAACAACACAAUUGAGUGGGGUCCUGUUAUUAUCCCCCCCCCCUUACAAACAGGGAAACCAAGGGAGCAGGUAGUCGGAUACUUUGAAGGUGACAAAGUUCUAACUCAAACCUGGGGGAUAUGGCUUCCAGCAUCUGAGCUCCAAAGUGCUUUGCUGCCUCAUCUACGAAAUGCUUUCUUUUCCAGGCCAUGGUGUUGAUGCAGUGACAUGUGGUAACAGCACCCAGCACAGUGCCUGACAUUUAGCAGAGGCUGAGUCAUCUCCCUCCUCCCACUGCUCCCUGACUCCCUCUCACCACUCUGUGGAAGGCUGGAGGCAAGAUUCUGCACACAGAUAAAGGCAGCUGUGCCAACGUCAGUGUGCAAAGGCCCAGGGGCUCCGGGGCAAGCCAGCAAACCACCCUCUGUCUUUAUGCCCUGAGGCCUGGAACAAGAGCUCUAACUCCAGCAGAGAUGCCCAGCAUUUCCAGACAGGAGCUGCCUCUACUUAUUACAAACUGCAUUCAAGGCAUGGGCUUUGGAGACAAGCCUGGGGGAAACUGAAAGACUUCUGAUUUCUAUACUAGGAGCUGAAUAUGUAGAUGUCAACACCAACACCACACCACACACACACACACACACACACACAAAAACACCUAACACUUACACCAUACCCACCACUGAGGGAAAAUGACCUACUUUCCAGAACUUUCCAUUGCCUAGAAACUCCCAGUGUCUGCAUCAAACUGCAGCUCUCUUUAAGGCAGUCCAGACAGUGAUGGUGAGCUAAAGGACAGAGUCCUGAGUCCCUUUUGAAAAUUAUUAAGAACAAAUUAGGCCCAGGGGCCCUGGGGAGCCUGUGUCAUAAAACAUGAGAAAAUUGUGUCUUCCAGUCCUCUGGCAGUAUUUUCAUGAACUGGUGACAACUGAAUAGAAGAUAGAGAUUAUUUUUGUAUCUUGACCUUAGUCUAAAAUGCUAUUGAGAAAGCUGCACCUUACCAGUUAAGGGACUUACCUAGCUGUGAAAUAGUGACCCACGCAGUAUAGGAAGUUUAAUACAUUCAAAAAGUUCCAAGUGCACAACCAGUACAAUUUACUAAAGUAAGAGGCGACCAGGCGGGGAUGCUGCCUACACACUUGCUCACUUUUUCGUCCAUUAACAAAAAGUUCUAUUUUAUGCCAAGGCAACAUAAGAAUAUUAUUUUAUUGCACCAAGAAUGCCACCACCAUGAAGCAUGAGAGCUGUUGUUCUGACCCUAAAAAGGAGCUAACGUGGUUUAAAAGUAAUUAAGAAGGAAAGCUGACUCUCUAUGUUUUGCGCCUCCGUCAGCGUGGCUACUGGGUUCCCUGCAGCCUGCCAAAGUCGGCAAAAUGACAGUGCUUGUAACCACCCGAUUUCUAAAACUGUAAGCUUCUAUUGUGAAGAAGCUUGAUUUUCUGCUUUAGAAAUCCAUCACCUGCCGGUCGGUCCUCGUGGCAUAUUGCUAAGAGACACCACAAAGGGCCCAGGUGCACGCAUGGGGAAUCAAGUUCUUCUCUCCUUUUAAUUACAGGUCGGCAACCGUCAGGGGGAUGGUGGAGAAACUGCCUCCCUAAAACGUUCAUUAGAGAUGGCAAUUUGCUAGCGGGGAAACAAAAACGGCCUCCUUCAACUCACUCAUCUGCAGAAGCCCCCCCCCCCCAACCCCAAGGUGAAUUAUGCCUCUGUAAUCACACGCUGGCCACACUGAGGCUCUGGGCUCAGCCCAGAACGCUUCCAGAGGGGAGGCAGGGACAGAAAAGCAGAGGUCACAAGGAAAGAGCAAGCCCUGAAGAAAGCGUUCAGACGUCCCGAACCUGUGCGAACAGUUCCUUCUACUUCCUGUUUAAGCUGUUACCCACCCCGCAGGAGGGACAGUUGUUAUCUUAGUAAUUUCAAAAGCUAUUAAGUGAGGAUGAAGGAGGGAGCUAAGGAAGUGAGGUGGGAGGGAAGGAGUUUCUCUGUUUGUGUGCAUGUGUGCGUGUGUGCGUGCGUGCGUGUGUGUGUGUGUGUGUGUGUGUGUGUGUGUGUGUUGUGAGUCAGCAAAAGCCGGAAGCCUGACAAAAGACUUCAAACAACAAGCUGGAAAGGAGGACAAUAGCUUCCACCCCCAGACAGUGAGAAAUUGCAUUAUCCUAAGGGAUCGCGGCCACCCGUGCUCAGUGCAGAUAAGUGAGGAGCUCUCUGUUCUGGCCAAUAGGAGCCAGGCAGCCGCAGCUGCUCGCGGAAGCCCUGGGUGGCCUCCGUCCCAGCCGCUCCAAAUGGUUUCAAGGCAAAAGCACUGCAGCUGGGUGGUGCUCAGAAGCUCAGGGGGUGGGAGGGGAGGCUGACAAAGUGGAGGCUGGCAAGUUGCACCCCCCCACCCCCCCACACGCCAGGUGCUCUAAAUCCCCUCUCCCGCUUAGGGAAACCACACACAGGUCUCCAGGCUGACUCCUCAGGCAGCUGUGUCAGAGCCUGCCUCCCCAUCAUUCCACAGCACACAGUGAAACGGUGCCUCAGAGACGGCGGACCCUAUGGGGAAACUUCCCCGCCACACAGUUCUUCGUGCUCCAGGAGCAAGAGGAUAAUUAAUGCCACUUGGCCAAAGAGAGGGGCAUUCCAAAUGCAGUCAUCAAGGAGACUGAAGCCUCGCCACACAACCUACACUGCAGACACAAAGCCCUGGAGACAAAAAAAAGACUUGGGCAAAUCCGAUCAGGAACUUCCAUCUGCAGUAAAAAGGUGAAAUGCAAAAGGGUAUAUUCACUAUCCUGAGUGGAAAAAAAAAAAAAAAUCUUCAUAUUUGAGGAAAAGUAUAUGAAAGUUACAUCAGGGGUUAGCUCACUUCUGGAAAUACUAUUAUUUACGGGGGAAGAAUUAACUAAAUAAAAAAGCAUGCAUUGAAUAUAUUAAUGAGUACUUGCCAUCCAGUUUUACAGUAUUACUUGUCACGGGUUAUAUUUUUAAAUGUUUUCAUGUCCGUGGCUCAUAUCUAUGCAGUAUGUCCACCUGACAAGUUUGUUAAAAGCACAAGAGAAGCUGAUGAUGCUGAAACCCCAUAUUUACAUGCAGUUCCCAGACCAGAUAACCACUGGCAGGCCCUAACUUUGUAUACGAAUUCUUUUGAAAGAAAUAUAUACAUAUGUAAUUUUUAAAUCAAACACACACACACAGGUGUGUGCAAACGUUAACAAAAAUGAGAGAAGCGGUAAAGACAGAAAAGUAUUAAAGUUCGAGCCCUGACUGCCUCACAAGUGCUGUUAAGAAUAUUCUGUGCAAAGUCAAAAUGGGUAGGAGUGUUAAAAAUUAAAAUCAAGUCAUCUGGCAUCUCAAUCACUGAAACGGAGGUUGAAAGACGCAGGAGACAUUUUCCCCUCAGCCCUUGAUUUGCUAUGGGGCCUGCAUCAAGUUGUGCUAUGCCUCUGUUAUAACAUCUGCAAAAUGGAGAUAACGCUUCACACUACCUACCUCAGAGAGCUGCCAGAAGAUUAGAUCCCAAAAAA
rnacentral:lncRNA from 1 species